GACAAGGUGGCCGAGUGGUUAAGGCGUUUGACUCGAAAUCAAAUUCAUUCGUGAGCCAGGGUUCAAAUCCCUGCCUUGUCG
rnacentral:tRNA from 1 species